rnacentral:ncRNA from 1 species
CUUUGCACACACGGGAGCUCGGAGCACCGGGCUGAGAGGGCGCUGACCUCCGUGGACGCGAUGUUUCACGUGGAACAUCGUCGGGCGGAAACCGCUGCGUCGACCGCUGAACCUGUUACCGGGUAAUGCCGGCGUAGGGAGUAGGUCUCAUGACCAA